CCUACGGGAGGCAGCAGUAGGGAAUCUUCCGCAAUGGACGAAAGUCUGACGGAGCAACGCCGCGUGAACGAUGAAGGCCUUCGGGUCGUAAAGUUCUGUUGUUAGGGAAGAACAAGUGCUAGUUGAAUAAGCUGGCACCUUGACGGUACCUAACCAGAAAGCCACGGCUAACUACGUGCCAGCAGCCGCGGUAAUACGUAGGUGGCAAGCGUUGUCCGGAAUUAUUGGGCGUAAAGCGCGCGCAGGCGGUUUCUUAAGUCUGAUGUGAAAGCCCCCGGCUCAACCGGGGAGGGUCAUUGGAAACUGGGAAACUUGAGUGCAGAAGAGGAAAGUGGAAUUCCAAGUGUAGCGGUGAAAUGCGUAGAGAUUUGGAGGAACACCAGUGGCGAAGGCGACUUUCUGGUCUGUAACUGACGCUGAGGCGCGAAAGCGUGGGGAGCAAACAGGAUUAGAUACCCUGGUAGUCCACGCUGUAAACGAUGAGUGCUAAGUGUUAGAGGGUUUCCGCCUUUAGUGCUGAAGUUAACGCAUUAAGCACUCCGCCUGGGGAGUACGGUCGCAAGCUGAAACUCAAAGGAAUUGACGG
rnacentral:rRNA from 1 species